AUUGAACGCUGGCGGCAGGCUUAACACAUGCAAGUCGAGCGGAGUGAUGGUGCUUGCACUAUCACUUAGCGGCGGACGGGUGAGUAAUGCUUAGGAAUCUGCCUAUUAGUGGGGGACAACAUCUCGAAAGGGAUGCUAAUACCGCAUACGUCCUACGGGAGAAAGCAGGGGAUCACUUGUGACCUUGCGCUAAUAGAUGAGCCCAAGUCGGAUUAGCUAGUUGGUGGGGUAAAGGCCUACCAAGGCGACGAUCUGUAGCGGGUCUGAGAGGAUGAUCCGCCACACUGGGACUGAGACACGGCCCAGACUCCUACGGGAGGCAGCAGUGGGGAAUAUUGGACAAUGGGGGGAACCCUGAUCCAGCCAUGCCGCGUGUGUGAAGAAGGCCUUAUGGUUGUAAAGCACUUUAAGCGAGGAGGAGGCUCUUUUGGUUAAUACCCAAGAUGAGUGGACGUUACUCGCAGAAUAAGCACCGGCUAACUCUGUGCCAGCCGCCGCGGUAA
rnacentral:rRNA from 1 species